GAUGAACGCUAGCGGCAGGCUUAAUACAUGCAAGUCGUGGGGCAGCAUGAGUAGCAAUACUUGAUGGCGACCGGCAAACGGGUGAGGAACACGUACACAACCUUCCUUCAAGCGGGGAAUAGCCCAGAGAAAUUUGGAUUAAUACCCCAUAAUAUAUUUGAUAAGGCAUCUUAUUAAUAUUAAAGCUUCGGCACUUGAUGAUGGGUGUGCGGCUGAUUAGAUAGUUGGCGGGGUAACGGCCCACCAAGUCUACGAUCAGUAGCUGAUGUGAGAGCAUGAUCAGCCACACGGGCACUGAGACACGGGCCCGACUCCUACGGGAGGCAGCAGUAAGGAAUAUUGGACAAUGGACGAAAGUCUGAUCCAGCCAUGCCGCGUGAAGGAUUAAGGUCCUCUGGAUUGUAAACUUCUUUUAUAUGGGACAAAAAAGGGCAAUUCUUGUUCACUUGACGGUACCAUAUGAAUAAGCAACCGGCUAAACUCCGUG
rnacentral:rRNA from 1 species